GUAUGUUCUGUGCGACAUCCACUUCUCAAUAAUCAAGUCACAGUCCAAUGGAGAUUCGAUUUCUACAUCUCUAAUUAUUAUCUUUUGAUAGAUGUAAUCGACUUCUUUGGCUUAAGUUUAAAGUUUCAAUUUUACGGUUUAUUUGAGUUUUCCAUUCAAAUAUUUUUUAUCUGUGAUUAAUCAAUGUCAAAAAUAUUGUCAAAUUGGUAGUUUAACUCCGUUUAUAGUUGAUAUGUUCAUCUGUUUUGAUUUUCUUAUAUGGGUCGGUUGGAUUAUGAACUGUUGUAUGCGAAUAGGUCAAUUGUGUUCUUUUGGUGCGAUUUAAUUAAGGUGAUUUGUCAAUAGGGAAAGAGUAAUUGUGCCCUUCAAGUGUUUGAGAAAAAACUUGAAAAUGAGUUCCGCGGAGUAACAUUAUGAUCCAAGCCAGAUGAUUGAUAAGGUGAGUAUUCUUAUUUAUCAUUAAUUAUCCAUAAAAUUUCUAAUGACAGGAGUAGUGGAGGAACUUGACACUUUUUGAUGCUAUUUAUUUUAUGAUAUCCCUGAACUUUUAAAUAUUUUUGUGUGAACUCUUUAACACGUUGGUGAUUAUUUCUUAUUGAAAGCUACGGAUUCAUUUAAAGCUCACAGUGUUAUGACAGUUCACUUAAAAAUAUGCUUACUAUUUGAAAAUUACAAAUCAUUUCCACACUUUGUCAUAAUAAGGUAAAUCUGCGGUGCUUGAUUGCAGAGACGUUUUAUGGGUCAGUAGAGAAAGCACAAUCACAAAGCGCAUGAAUGAAAUACCAAAUGUCUUCAAUAGUCUAACCAAAGACACCAUGAUGUUAAUGCAACUAAUUAGCUAGAUGAAAGACCUAUAAUACACCUUAAACUUUUAACAUAAAUUAGAUGUGUUCGAUGAAGAUCAAAUAUAUAAAAAAAUACUUUAGCAAAAAGGAGGCACCUCGAUCAAGAAAGCUCGCACUACAACAAUUAUCAUAUGCUGAAAGGACAUAAUAGGAUAAGAUAAGUCAUUACAUGGAUUAAAUUGUUGUGAACAUCAUAAAGGUACAUUGCGGUGUUGAUUAUUAAUUAUUAUGUUGAAAAAUAAAGUAAAAUUUGGAACACUACUGCAUUAGCUGCAUUAGAAGUGCAACAUAGAGGAAUGCACUUGGGUUGGAUUGAUUUCUUACUGAAUUUUUUAUUUCGAUAUUCACGACUUGAGAGAUGCAUCAUAAAUUCAUAAAAUAGCUGAUUCCAUGUAUCUGGAACACUGGGGAGGCACCAAAGGCUACAAUCUUGGAGCAUAAUUUCUUUAGCAUUGGUUUUGUUGUUUCUCUGAGUGUGAAAAGUUGGUGAUGUCGGCCACUGUGAUUGCACAAAAUGCAAAUCAACUGUCGAGGAGCCAUUGCCAAGGGCCAUGUUUUUACGCUCGAAAUUGAGGUCCAAAAAAUCGUCAGAUCCACCGCAUCGGACUUAAUUAUUCAUGAACGGGGAGGUGUAAGUCCUACAGUAGCAGACAAAUCAGCAAAUGGAAUUUUUCCCCACUCUAAGGAUGUAGCAGAGACUGGCAUCAGCGUAAAAAGACACGGUACAUGAUCUGCGUGAGAGAUGACCUAUGGAAAGAUGAUGGUUUAUGUAUCAGGUUAUCCUAUAAGAGGACAUACAUGGAGGAGAUGACGGUUCAGAAUUUUGUGCUAUUUAUGCUAUGAUUGGAUGGAUGUUGUUCAAGAGACUGUCACGGUGAUUUUUAAAGGGUGACUUCUUUUAGAUGUGACAGAACCAUUGAUUACUUUGAGAAAUCUAUAUCUUUAUAAUGGAUUUUUUGCUUUGUUGAUUGUAUAGUUGGAUGCUGGAUUUUUGUUUGCAUCAGUAGAAUAGAUGAAAAUAACAAAUCCGUACUGAAAGAGAAGCAAGGGUAUGAUGCACCUGCAAGAAGAGAAUCUUCUAGAAGGGACAGUUCGGAAAAUCUUUCCUUACUGAGCACAAUUAAGAAUUGGUGAUGCUAAUCAAAGAAAAUACAAGCGAAUUCGAUGACCGAUGUGAUAAACACCAAAAAUGGUCAAAUUAGAGGAACUUGUGACUCAAAAUACCAAUACUCCAAAGGAAUUUAUUUAAAUGUGGCUGGCCUGGUAUUUAUAUAUCAGCACCCACAUUUGUUGAGGGAUUUGUCAACAUAUUCACUUCCUAACAGAGAAGGGGACCCUAGAGCACUAUCUCGAGCAUUUGGCAUUUUUCAAUUUGCUGCCGUCUUGUUCUUCUUUUUCUGCCAUUCUCUUUUGUCCGACAAUGUCUAAUUCUCAGACCGAAACAACAGCAGCACCAAUAGUUGAUUUAGGGCAUUGAUUGUUCCAAGGCAAAGAAAGGAAGACGGUGAUUCAUGGCUGUGAAACGUGAAAGAUAUUGAUGGGAGAUUGCAGUAGAUGAUGUCUGUGUAUGAAGUUUAAAUGUGACUGGAGAAGACAGACCAGUUGACGAGAAUGGAAUGUCUGGAGUUAUAUAUUGAAAUGUGUUCGGUGAUUGUCUGAGCUAGUUGCAACAGAGAGUAGACACCGCUAUUCUGGUUGGAAUUUAGGAAUGAAUCAUGGCAUCCGGUCAUGGUGGCCGUGUAUAUAUGCAUGAAAGCAUAUGAAAUUGGGGUGAUAAUGUUAACAGCGAGAAGAAAGGUACUGAGUUGGUUGUCUGUUAGCUGAUGGAGUGCAACUUCUUCUUCCGAAAUCAGAAGCAGCAGUUCUUAGGGCGACAUUAAUGGUGGUUGAUUGGGUUUUCUGUGAGGCUGUGUAUAUGAAUCAGCUAGAGCUGCAAAUUGUGGUUGCCUGGGAAGGAGCUGAAAUGAAAUGGUGAGAAGAUGGAGCUGUGAUAAUGGAGUUGCUCAUAUUGCAGAAGCGAAGAAGAGUCUGAAGUCUGAGACCGAGAUGAUGAUCAUGGAAGCUGUUCAUCGUGAUGUCAGCAGCAAUGGAUUUUGAUUGCAGUUUGGCAAGAGUAUUCUCGAUUGGAAAUGAUUGCAGUGGCGAUAUUUACUGGUACCUACAAUUGGGUCAUGAUUAAAUGGUGAAGGACAGCGCCAACAGAGAUGGAAGGAGGGACUGUCGAUGGCUCGAGUGGUUCUGUCGUUCAAGAAAGCGAUGAAGAAAUCUAGGGUUUGCUGUGUUCGAUCUUGGGAGGGAGAUGAACGGGAAUGGAGUUGUUCGAAGUGAAGUUACGGUCAAUAACUAGCUGAACAUUCGUAUGGGGUUUGGUCACCGGUAUCAAUUCUCAAGGGAGAAAGAAAGUGCUAGCUGUGCUCAUGGAGUCAGGAAACAAAGAAAACAAUUAAUAAUUCGGAAAUGGACUAUUGUAUUCUGGUUCUCUGUGGAGUUCAAAUGUUUAUGACUUAUGUCAACAUCAUAUCUUAACUUCCCCAUAUUGUUGUAAGAUUCUUCCACAACGUUUAUGGAAACAAAAUGAGCACGAGACAUCUAUAAGAUCAGAUGGCAGACGAGUGUUGCAGAAGAAGACGUGGAGAAACUUCAUUGGGUGAUUUUGUUUAUCACUCAACAUGUGUCACAAGUUAAUUGGCUGAUGAUGUGGUGUAGAGAAUUAAUAAGGAAAUUAGAUUUCUUUGAGAGGCUAUGUAUACGUUCAAAGAUUGAGCCAGAAAGGAGGUCGGCUGAAGGCUGAAAGACGACCAGAAAGGAGGCGCGGCUACGGAGCCGCAACUUAGAGAACAGGGUUUGAGUUGAUUUUCUCCCAUUCUUCGGUUUUGAUUAGUGAUUCUCCAUUGAUAUUUUUAUGGCUUUGGAGAAAGCCAUGCUUUGUUGAUUUUUUUGUAAAUAGGAUUUAUGAUGGAAACCAUUUUGGAUAUUAGGCUACUAUGAAUCGAAUGAUUUAGCAAUAAGAUCAUUAUGAUUUGAAUA